CGCAAUGGGCGAAAGCCUGACGGAGCAACGCCGCGUGAGGGAUGAAGGCCUCUGGGCUGUAAACCUCUUUUAUCAAGGAAGAAGAUCUGACGGUACUUGAUGAAUAAGCCACGGCUAAUUCCGUGCCAGCAGCCGCGGUAAUACGGGAGUGGCAAGCGUUAUCCGGAAUUAUUGGGCGUAAAGCGUCCGCAGGCGGCCUCGUAAGUCUGUCGUUAAAGCGUGGAGCUUAACUCCAUUAAGGCGAUGGAAACUGUGAGGCUUGAGUGUGGUAGGGGCAGAGGGAAUUCCCGGUGUAGCGGUGAAAUGCGUAGAUAUCGGGAAGAACACCAGUGGCGAAGGCGCUCUGCUGGGCCAUAACUGACGCUCAUGGACGAAAGCCAGGGGAGCGAAAGGGAUUAGAUAC
rnacentral:rRNA from 1 species